UAAAUAUUACGUUGCUUGAUAAUCUAGAUGGCUCAUAUCUAGUUUUUUUUGUUUUUUUUCUUGUUUUUUUUAUUAUCAAUUAUUGCUAUUAUAUUUUUUAUAUUAUUUAAUUUAAAAAUUAAAUCAAUAACUUGAAUUUUUUUUUUUACCCUAAAAAACAUCAAAAAAAAUUUAUCCAGGCCGCGAGGAAUCACGGCCAGCAAAUCUAGUCUAAACUAAAAUGGACUCCUGCUUGUUUUAUCCUCAUAAAAGCUGCCGUUUGAGAGAACAAAUGGGAUGUCCUCCAUGCAUUAGCUGACAUGCGGAAAACCUAAGUUACAUAUUGAUCUGAGUCGUGCAUGCCUUAACUAAUCUCAACCACUUAAACCCUAGCUCUUCCCUUCAUUGUCGUCGUCGUCCUCGUCGUCUGCGAGAAACUCCCCUGAAAUCUUGUUCACUGUCUUGUGUUUGUGCAGGUGGGCUCUAGUUCAUUAUAGAAUUCCUAGUCGUUUCAGUGUAUACUUGGUAAUAACAUGUGAUGGACAAAACCAUACCCCCUUUUCUACAGGCAAAAUAAUUAUCUCGCCAUCAGCCCAAACUCACAAGAAGAAGCUUCGAAUACGCAGAUCGACUACUCAUUUGUGUGGAGUCAUGGGUAAGAAGAAAGAUGAACCCUGUAACUUCCUUCCUUCUAUAUGUAUGAUCGAAAGCAUGCAAAAUCCCAUGUGUUGUUGAAGAUGAAUCAUGCUAGAACGAAGGGUCCGAGAAACCGAAACACACACACCAGGAAAACACCUCUUUCUAGAUACCUGCGCCUAGCAAAUGUUGAAGAACACUGAAGGAGACUAAAGGAGAUCCAUAUUUUACUAUAUAUAUUCAUCCUCCCACAUUUUAUUAUUUAUAUCACUGUUCUUUGGGCAAGUUUAUUUUCUAGGCCAGCAUAUAUAGUGAAAUGGCCAUUUCCUCCGGUUUCCUUUCUAAGGAGCUCGAAGUUUAGAUUUGUUUUAAUUUGGUCAUCAGACUUUAAUAUCUUUUAAUUUAGUCUUUAAAAGUUUUAUAUAUUAAUGUCCAACGUAUCAAAGAUUAUUUUAGGUUUAAAUGGCAGGUUAAUUAAUGUAAACCCUCUUAUAAUUAAUUGCAUAUUGGAUUCUUCAUACAUAUAGUACCAUUUUUAAUUGUUAGUUAGAUGUAAAAGCAUUCAGUUUAGUUUCUUAAACUUUUAUAUUUUUUCAUCUUUGUUCUUUAUAGUUUUUUUAUUAUUUAAAACUUCAUUCUUCUUGGUUGUUGAGAAAUGAGAGAGAAAGUCAGAGAAAGAUACACGUUGGCAACAUACAAAAAAAAAAAAGCCUUGGAAUAGCGUGUGGGCAAACUAUGAUAUAUAUGGUCAAUGUCCUUUCAAUAACACAUCUCAAAUGUCUUUUCACGAUUCAUUACGUUGAACUGUACAUUUUUAUAACUAAACAAUUAGAUUUUAAUGUAUUUUGGCAUUUGAGGUAUCAUAAUUCAUAAUCAAACCUUUGUUGCAUUUUCCCUUGUGAUUGUGUUCCUGAAGAGCCGGAGCUAUAAUUUUUUAAAAAAAUGUUGAAAUUAAUAUUUUAAAUUUAACAGGAUUAAAACCUUUAAUGGCACCAAAAAAAAAAAAAAAUUUAAAUACGCAUAAACUUAACAUCUUAGACUUAAGCUCCGCGCAACCUUGAUUUAGGUUUAUUUUUAUCCCUAACAAGCUUAGGCAUGAACUCAACACUUCUUUGAGAAUUUUUUUAUAAGAUUUCACAUAGAUUUUUUAGUAUUUUAUAUUGAUCUAAUAUAUAUUGUUAUGAAUGCCAUACAACUCAAAAAUAUCAUUUUAAUUUAUAAAUAUCUAAAGAACAAGACUUAUUAGUUAUAAAUAUCUUAUGCAUCCACCAAGUUCAAGGUUCAUAAUUUCUUCUUUCUUAAUAUUUUUAACAUUUAUAUUUUCAAAGUUUAUCUUUUAAAAAUAUCAUUUUAUUUUCUUUUUCUAUAAAAAUAUUUUCUUAAACAUUCGAGAGUCCUCACAUCUAUUAAAAAUAGCUUUUUGCAAGCAUCAUUCACUAAUAACCUUGACUUUUCAGGCACUAAAUACCACAUAUCAACCACUUUGGCUAGGAGAAUGAAUUAGAUUAUUAGAAAAAAAAUUAAUUGAUUAUCCAACACAUAAAUCAUACUCCUAAACUACUUCAAUUUUUUAGGAUAUUAUUAGAAAUAUACAAAUAGCUAAAACGAACAGAUAUAUCUUAACAUAUUAAAUAUUGUAUAAAUACAAAAAUAUAUUAUAGAUUUCUUAAUCAAAAGUGUGGGAAAAAAAAACAUAAGUAAUCACAGAAAAAAAAACACUGAACAUAAAUAAUCAAUGUAACAAGCUAACAAAGCAUAUGGUUUUCUUUUACAUAUACAUCACAUAAACCAAAAUAAUUAAAACCUUGAAAUUUUUUUAUAAUCAAAAUUACAUAUUUAGAAUAAAAAGCAAUGAAUAAAAGAAAAUAAAAACUUACAAACUUCUAGUAAUUUUUUUUUUUGUUUUUACUUGGAUAUCCUCACAACCCUUUAAUUUUUUAAAGGUGAGAUUAGUCUUUUCAAAGUUCAUAACUUCCCCUCUCAAUAAGAAUGCUUUUUAAAAAUCGAACUUGUAUUUUCACUCUUGUAAAAAUACAGCAGUGCCUUAACCGCUAGACCAAUAUUUCAUUGAGUACAAACUUAUAGUAUAUAUCAAAACAUCUACCACUUCUCAUCAUCAUAGUUGUGACCACCAUUAACAUAGAUUUUCACAACCAAUAUAACCAUAAACCAUUUAUCUUUCAUCUCUGUCGCCACCAUUAUCAUCUUGUUUCCAACAUAACUAUCAUCUAAAUACAACCAUCAUUGCCAUUAAUAAUAUCAUCUCACCAUUGAUUAUUUCAUGUUUUUAUUAAGGACUUAAUUGAAAUACUAUAAAGAUAUAAAUAAAGAAAUAACAAGCCUAAUGGGAAACGACCAUCACUUGUGAGUUGUGACAUAAUUCUGGAGCGUCAAUUUUUUUUUUUUUUUUUUCUUAUUGGGAGGUUCUGUACAGAAAGUUACAUUUCAGGUAGCACAAUUGGGACCUAUAUCUCCUUAUUCCACAGACCAGAAGCCUACAGCCACCGGCUCCCUUUACAGGAUGGUAUAAUGUAAGACGUAGCUGUAAGACAAGAAAAAAUGGUAUCUGCAUGACUGAUUAGAUAGAUGAUGCAGGAUUCAUAGCAUAUGAACAAAUCAUUUUGACUUGUCACUUCGAAACAGCUUCAAGAUAUUGGAAACUGUAGCCCGUGGCCAACCUCUAAAAUAUCUCCACUCUAUAUCCCUGAAAAACAAUCACAAGGAAAACUGAGCAGUAGAAUUCCAAUAUUUGAUGCCCCCCCUAACUCGAUCAAGAUAAAAACAACGCAAGAUUUCCAAAAGAAAAUUAAAAAAAAAAAACUUCAAACGAAUAAGUUUAAGAACCCACACCACAAGAUGCAUAAAUAAAAAAAGCCUUGGUGAAUGCAUUAGUUGCACCUUUCACCAAAAGAACUCAAGGAGAAACGCAUCUUCACUUGAUUAACAGGUUUCUUAACCACCAGAAAGUUCCACUUCUACCUUGUUUUUCAAUUGGUUUUGUGCAGGACUCUAGGUAUUAACCAAUAUAAAUACACAAUGAUAUAUCCAAGACUACAUCUUUAAGACGCUUCACAUGCUUUUUCUUUGAGAAGCCGUAUCUUAUUGAAGGCUUCUCCGCUCAGAAUAUGCAACGGGACUUGAGGCCAAGAUUAUUUCUUGAAUGGGAAACGGGGUAAUUCCCUAUCAUAAACUCAACAUCCAUUCCGGUAAAAAUAUAAAUGAAGAUGAUCAGACCAAAAUAGUCUCCAGAAUAAAGAGGUUACAAGCAAACCAAAAUACAAGAAGCUUAGAACUCUCUCAUGUUAAUUAGACCUCCCAACGAGAGACCAAUUUCUUAUAGUUUAGCAAUCUCAAUUUUAUCCCAGAGACACAAGUUAAGCAAUAUAUGGAUUGUACUUAUUGACACAAAUCGGAAAACACUUUGUCAUGGAAAUAUGACAAUAAUGAAGUUUUACAUGAAGAGCUUGUAGCUAAGAACUAAAUGCUGUCAAACAAAGUUGUAUGGCUGCCAAAAGAUUUGAAGUAUCUAAAAUGCAGAAAUCCAGUAUGGAAAAUUGUAUGCAUAUAGGAAUGCAUUGAGAAUGAAAACGAUGCAUAAAUAAUGAUAAUAAAUUUCAAACGCAAUAAACCAUCUAAGAGAAUUCUUCACUACUAACCCAGCAUGAUAUUAAAAUUAAAAGUAUCUCAAAAAAUCUUUUUGAAAAUUUAUUGUAACUGAAUUGUGAUAUCAUUUUCAAUGAUUCCAGCAUACAAAAGUUUAUCAUUAAAGAUUCCAGUUUUUAUUCUUGAGUAAACAUGAAAAUACAGUUUUAGUUCUGGAUCAUUACUCUGAUGAAACAUAAUGAAUGAAACCCAUAGUGGAAGUAUAAGGAAAAUCUAAUAUCAGUAGGAAGAGCAUAAAUAUUAGAAGCAAUUCAACUUUAGACAUGGCUGGAAACAAAAAUUAUGACUUACAGAUUUUCUCUAGGUAACCCCCAUCUUUGUUGCACGAGAACAAUCUUCAGUAACAGGAGAGCCUCCUUUCACGGAUAAUCUUGUUGGUUUGGUACCAUCACUCCUGCCCUUUUCAAAUGUAAACUCGAGUUGUCUCUCCACUGACUUGAAGACAGCAGUCCGUUUGGAUCUUAAUCGAUAUGGAGGAGAAGCAUUAAAGGGCUUAUCAUUAGGCCGAAUAGUACCAUUACCCAAAGAAGCAGGACUCUCACACAAACUUCCAUCUUGAGCAGCUGUCUUUUCCAAAGUAUUUUCAAUUUUUUCAUGUUCAACAGACAUGUCUAACCUGUCUUUGACGGUUUCCUCACCUGCUUUCCCAAUUUUACUAGGAAGCAGAUCCACUUGAGCAGUCUUCCUCUUUCGAAAUAUUGAAGGGGUAUUAGGGAAGCUCAUGGCAGCAAUUCUCAAUAUAGAUUCUGGACUUUGUGCACUCAAAUCACGACUCUUUACACAAGGUGGGGUGAAGAAAAUAAUAGGAGAUGAAACUGGGCAAGAAUUGUUCUCAUGCUGCACGCUACCAGUGUUUGAAGGAUAUGAAUCCAAUUGUUCUACUAGUGGUGGCUCAUAAUACAAAGAACCAUAAGUUGACCUGUCAAACUGCAAUCCAGACCCAAUACCUUUGUCUUGAUGAUCUUCAAACUUUUGCUGCAACUCUGAAUCACAGCAGCUAAGAUCUACAGAAUCAGCAUACUCAUUUGGAAGAGCACUUGAUGAAGCUGCUACAUCUAGCACCAAUGUAGACUCUAACUGAUCUUUUCCAUCUUCAUCUAGCUUACAUAUAUCAGUAGUUCCUGACGAAGUUUGGGCAGCUGAAUCUGAUUCUUUCAUUGUUUUCAUCACAGCUGAUUUAUUCGUAUCUUUAGUUCCAUUUUGGAAACCAUUCUUUGAAAUUGGAGGUAGUUUCCCCGUAGACAGAUAAAAAUCUAAUUUUUUCUUCAAGGAACUAUUCCAGUGGUUUUUAAUUGAAUUAUCAGUCCUGUGUAUAGAAAAGUUGAGAUAAAUUAGUGUAGCUUGAAAUAUCCAAAUAUAUAAGCUGUUCACACACACACACACAUCUUGGAGAGGAAUACAUGACAUGGCAAGCUGUUGUUUUUUACUAUUUAAUUAGUAACAUUAUCCUGAGCCAUGUCUAGGUUUAUAGCAAUGUCUAACUCCUUGUACAAGAAUGAGGCAUUAGACCCAUAGACCCUUAACAAACCAAAAGUGGGAUCAGACAUGCAACAAAAGGAACUUUAUAUGAAUUUUUGUAUUUCGAAUAUACUGAAUUGAUCACCUGUAUGAUAUUACAAGAGGAUCAUUGUUGAGAUUCAAAACACAUUUUUCUUUCAGUUAUAGCUUUGAUUCAGUCACAAUAAGCCCGGUACGAAAUAUAUAGACUUCUAAAACCAUAAUACAUCUUAGAUAGCAAAAAUAAAAAGUCAUUGCCUGUAUUAAAUUAACUCUAAUUACCAAGACGCAUUCUUAAUCAAAUCAAAUCAAAUUGGCAACCAGGCAUAAAUGACAAGACAAAAUAUUCUCAUUCAGAAAGGAAAGAGUAAUUUCAUAUAAACUCCCAAGCAUAAUAACAAUAUCAAUGUACAAAAUUCACUUUCAAAUAAGCUGGAUCCUCUUUUGAGAUCAACACUACUGCAUGAAUCAGCAAAUUUAACAUUCUGCCUACCCUGCUCAGAAGAAUGUGAGCAUCAAAUAUUCAAACGAAGUUACUGAAUUUAGCAACUAAUUUCCUAUAAAACAUAAAAUCAAAAUCAACAUAGAAACUAAAUUUCCCUCAUAGUUUUUACAAAUUAUGCAAGGGUACCUUCCAGGCAGAACCUUUGCUAUUUCAGCCCAUUUGUUUCCAUAUAUCCGAUGGGCAUUCAUGAGUGCCAAUUCCUCCUCCAAUGUCCAAGCAUCCUUUUUUAUAUCAGGAUUCAAAUGAUUGUGCCACCUGCAAAUAUUCCAAAUAAACUUUCACUGGUGUAUAAAUUUAUGCUAACCCCCACUCGAUGACUGAAGGUACUGAAAAGAUCACAUAAGUUUUCUGGCAUGAUAACCACAACAUGCAAGAAAUAAGUUAAGUAUUAGAUUAUUGGUCAGGUAUAUGAUUUUCAACUGUUGUAGGACCAUGUUUCCUGUUCCAGGGAGAAAGGAGGUUGCUGUGCCACUAAUUGUGUUGUGGAUGAAAAAAUAAAAUGAAUCAAUCAGCAACCUUCUUAAACAAAAUCAACCUGAAUUCAUAAUGAGUAAAAGUUACCUCUCUCGGCAUUGCUUCCCUAUACGACCAGGUAAAGCUUUUGCUAUGACAGACCAUUUUGUGGGUCCAUAUUUUGCUACCAGUUCAACAAUUUUAUCAUCCUCCUACAAGCAAAAAGAGCAGAUAUUUUAGUGCGUAGUUAUAGUCUACAACAAGAGAUACAUUACAAAAGGAGGUGCCGACCUCUUGAGUCCAAGGUCCUUUAACAAGUUCUGGAUCAAGAACCUUCUGCCAUCGAUGCAGACAUUGCACUUCUGAUCUAUCAGGAAAAAACUCAGCUGCAUAACAUCAAAAGUAGGACCAACUUAAGGUAUUUGACAAGAAUAUUACACAGAAAACUAACACUUUUAACUAUUUAUCCAUGUGUAUAUUAUCUUAUUGUCACAUGUAAACCAUUUUUUUAUUCAACACAAACAAGGAAACAGUCAUUUCAGACUCCAAACAGGUCCUCCAGAUAGAGAAGGUUAUUGGAAACAACCAGCAACUUGCUUGAAAUGGACAUGAACAAGCUCUUUCCAUAAUUGGAGAAAACAAGCACUGCUCACAGAUUGUGUGCGAGUAUGUGGUUUGGCUCUGGCAGUGUUAACAACUAAAACAGUAGAGCCUAAAUCUAAGUUCAUUCAUGCUCUAAAAUAUUCUCUCACAUGAAUCUUCUGCCAUAAUUCAGAACCACCCACAAAUCUAAACAGAUUUAGGGUGACUUGGACACUAGGUGCAAGGAAAAAAUUCUAAGAACAAAUUUAAUUGAUUCCUAUAACAUUCUUUCAGUAUAGCCCCACAAGUAGAGUUUCCUCCUUGUCAAGGGUGAAGGGUGAAGUAACUUUUUGAUUUUAGUGGGGCACCCAGAUUGACUGGGGGUGAAUCAAAAGGCAGGAGAUAGAUUAGUGUCAAAUUUUUGAGGUUAUUUGCUAAUUAACUCAGCAAAUAUCAUUGUAAACCGCAAAUGAUUAAGUUUUGGACUUCGCUUACAACGUAUUUAACCUCUCUCAUUAAACACUUUACAAGUAGAAAAGGAGUGUUGUUACUUCUGAACUCUAUUACUACGCUCCUUACUUUUAUUUUUUUGUGGAUUGAGAAUUGGACCGAUCUGGUUUUCUAAUAAAAUGUGCACUGAUGAAUUGUGAGACCGAAACUUUUCUCUCUUGCACUUUCUCAAAAAACGUUUUUGUAUCAUGUUUCUUUGUUGAAGUAAUGAGACCGAUGUGGUUAGCCUUAUAUUCUUUUAACAGUAUUUUGAAUCUUUUUAUUAGUUUGAAAAUUAAAUUAAGACAGUCAGAUGCAUAAAAAUUGUUUUUGACAAGGUGCUAAAUUACUGAAUGAUGGCUCUGGAAAAUAUUCCUAGCUAUGCUACUGACUCUGGUUAUGCACUUACAGUUCCUAGGCUGCCAUAAUUCUCUUUGGGUCAGCCAGAGACAGUUUCUUUAUUUUCCUAGAUCUACUUCAAAAUACAUUUUACAGGAUCUUCACAACUCUACGAGUCUCAGCUAGCUCAAGUACAUUAUCCAAGUCUCACUGUGACUUUUAAAGGGAACUGUACAUGAAGCAUGAACAAUAGGCAAUGCUGAAACAGAAAGCCAUAAAAAAAAAAAAGAAUCGAGAAUAAUCAUCUCUGUUGCUAAACAAGUUUUAGACAGGCACUUCUGAGUUAAGAAAGAGACCUAUUUUCUUCCAACUUUUCCCCUUAUAAGUUGCAACAGCAGUUCUUAAUGUCUCAUCCUGUAACACAUUAAAAAGGUUGUCAGUAGCAAUUGGAUUUUAGCACAAUACUCCAUAACAGCAGAGAAGCCACAGCUGACAGCUGAACACUAACAGAGAUCUAGCUAUAUUGUGGAUGCUCAUGAUCAUUGUAAUGAUCAUACUAUCAUUAAUAAGAGGAUAAAAAUAACACUGAAAACUAGUAAAGCAUCAUGCUGGUCCAGGUUUAGAAAUGACUCAACCACUGACUUGGACCAAACCCCAACCUCCAAUAAGCCAACAAACAACAACACCUUCUCGCAUAGGAAUUAAAUAAGUCAAGGAAAGCACUAACCUCCUCCGGAGUCCAACCACCUUUGGCUCUCCUAAUUGGGCCUGUAGUUCUUCUGCAAAUCCAAAUUCUCAACUCAUAAUUCUCAAACAAAAAGAUCAUACACAUAAAGCAUUUGAAUUCAAAACAAGAUCAAGGAAAACAAAAAUAGAGAAUGAAUAAUUCAAAGCGGAUAGACAUAAAGUAAUAAAAAUACCUUCUAAAAAACGGGUAAAAGAGAAUUAACGGAUAGUAAGUGACCUGUUAGUCGGCGAUACCGUGGCUGGACUAUAAACUCCGGGAGACUUAAGAAUAGCACUGCCACUACCUUCUUCAGAUUGAGAGGAGCUCGAAGCGGGUGUUAAUUGCUUGUUUUCAAGGCAGCGCUCUUCUAUCUUUAGUUCAUCCAUCUCCUCUUUCUACAACCAUCUCCAAAAUCCAAAAUCAUAAUCAACAAAUACAUAAAUACAUACAUGAAUUCGUACUACUUAAAUCAAAUAAUAAUAAUAUCAGUAAAAUAUAGAGCCCUAAAAUAUAUUUAGCAAUACAAACAAAACCCAGAUCUUAAAAAACACCGAUUAGAUCAAAAAACCAGAAAAUCAUAUUCAAUUCUACCGUUUCUUAAUCAAAUCACACAUACUUUAAAGCUAAUAAUCGUUCGAUAUCCAAAUCAGUUAAACGAUAAAAAAACAAAACUGACCUCUGCUUCAAGAGAAGUGGCGGGAAUUGAAGAGGAACUCAUCGACAUCGAGAGAGAGAGAGAGAGAGAGAGAUAGAGAGAGAAAGAGAGAGAAAUAAAUAAGGAAGAAAGAAAGGAAGGGAAACGUCUCUCUCUGACUCCCAGAGAAAACAAAACAAAACCAAACCUUGCCCGUUGAAACAAAAUAAAAAAUAUAUAUAUACGACCAGACCGUAAAUUUGUAUGUAACGAAUAUAUUUUGCGCCGACCGUCUCCGUUAGUUGCCGUUAUAGACUGCUUUCCUUUCUAGCAUUUUUUUUCUUCCUUUUUUAAGGUUUUGAAAACCCUAUUUGUUAACGGUGCUUGACGGUUCUUUGUAAGCCCAAAGUUUGAACCUCAAACGGCACUCUAGUUAUUGCGUUAAAUCUCGAAUUGGUCUGGGAUAGUGGGUGUGAAAGGCCACCCGUUCGCGGGUGUUUCUUGACCGUUGGAUUUGGAAAUAUAUGAUCGAGGUUUAAGUGACGUUUUUCCAAGUAAAGAUACGUUUUAACUGAUUUAGGGUUUUUUUCUCUUUUUAAAACCAGAUGGAUUUAGUUUUAUAAUUAUCUGUUAGUUGUAGAGAUUUAUACGAUCUCUUUUAUUUUUUACCUUUUUUUAAUGGAACUUAUAUUUGUUUUUUAUUUAAUAUCAGUUUUCGCCCCUUAACUAUUGAAGUUGUAGCGCUUUAAGCCUAUGCUAUUGAUUUAGCCCAGUUUUGUCCUUAAACCAUUAUGUUCUUGACAAAUAUCCUCCCUCUACUUGAUUUAACUGAUAGAUCGAUGGGUCAAACUUUCACUAUUGGUCAAAACUCAUUCUAAAAAAAACAUAUCUUGAUAUUUGCAACUGAAGUUUUACACAUGCUAAUGAAACUUCAAUCCAAUUUCAUAAAUAAUUUCAAAGAUUUUUAAAAUCAAAAGAUAUUUUUAUUUUUUUGAAUAAUAAAAAAUCAGAAAGUUGUGAAACAAAUAUAAAUAAGCUAAAAUUACAUCAAAAAAAAUUAAAGCUCGGAAUAGUUCAUAUGAAUUUACGUAGAUACUUUUAGAUCUUGUUUGGUAGCGUGGUUGUGAUUAUUUUUCAAAGUGUUUUUCAUGCUGAAAUGCAUCAAAAUAAUGUUUUUUAAAAAAAAUUAUUUUUUAGUUCAUCACAUCAAAACGAUUCAAAACACAUAAAAAAAUUAAUUUUUAGCAAAAAACAUUAUAUUUUUUGGAAACAGGGUUUACGCUGCAUUUUCAAACUGUGUCUAGUGUGGUUCUCAAAAUUAUUGUUUAUAUGUUUACCAAAAUCAACCUAUUUUAAACUUGGUUUGGUGUUAUGUGUCUGACCAUAUAAACAUUUUGAGAAUCAUGCAAUGGAUAAGCAAAUAAUUUAUAUGAUUUUUUUGACUCCUGGGCAAAACUUGGGAUCGUUUCAGGGUUUUUUUUUUUUGUUAAUAUUUAAUGUUUAAGAAAAUCUAAAUAGGCUUCUUAAACUCAAAAUUUAUAAAAUUAUUUUUGAAAAUAAAUUGAGUUUUGCUAGCAGAUAUGAAAAUUUUAAGCUCAAAAUACCAAAAAAAAAUAAAAAACAAAAUUUGGGAUCAUUUCAAUUUUUUUUAUUUUUUUAAAUAUUUAAUGUUUAAGAAAAGUUUUAAAAAGCUUCUUAAACUCAAAGUUUCUAAAACUAUUUUGAAAAUAGAUUGCAUUUUGGGAGCAAAUAUGAAAACUUUAAGCUUAAAAUACCAAAAAUUGAUAUUUAUUUUUAAAAAAUAUAUAUAUUUUUAAUCACAAUAUUUGUUCAAAAUAUGAUAAUUCAAAAGCAAAAUUAACCAAAAUUUUAAUACAAGCCUCAAUAGUUCAAUAGUUUAGAGAAAAAAAUAUUGGUAAACUUUUAUUUUAUCAUGAAACUUAUAUCUUCUUAUAGUUAACUCGAGUAGAUUGUCAUGAUUGUUAAAUAGGUUUUUUUAGGGAUGAUUAUUUUCGAUUCGGUUUGAUUUUUAUCAAAAAAAAUAACCAAACUAAAUUUUUAAAAAAAUAAAAACCGGUUUAAACCGACUGGUUCCAGUUCGGUUUGGUUUUUUUAGGACAAAACUGGUUCAAACUGGUUUGACUCGGUUUUUUCAGUUUGGCUUAGUUUUCCAGUUUGAUUCAGUUUUUUUCUGGUUAGGCUUAUAAAAUUGAACCGGUCAGUUUUUUAAAAUUUUAAUCGGUUUAAUCAGUUUUUUUUUCACGGUUUAAUUUUUUCGGUUAUUUUUAUUCUAAUUUUCUUGAUUUAAUUAGUUUUUCAUUUUUUUUUUAAUCAUCCUUAUAUUUUUUUUAUGUUCUAGGUUCAAACCUGUGGUAUAUAUGCCUUUAGGAUCAUUAGAAAAAAGAGAGGAAAAAUAAAAACUAGGCACGGCCCGCGUCACAUCUCAAGUCCACAUUUUUUUUUUGUAAAAACCAAUUUCUAGGUGCCUCCAGCACGUUUCAAAGAAAUAAAAAAACCAAUGAGCCAACCAGUUUUAUUAAGUUGGAUCUAAUUUAAUUAGAUGAUAAGAUAAAACAGGCAAUUAAAUGGAUUAAAAAAUAUAUUUAAAAAAGAUUAUAAUAAGCUGGAAAAAGAAUCUUUAGAAGAGAGAAAUUGGAUUUAAAAAAUAAAAAUAAAUUGCUUAAGUCAAUCCAAGAUAGUAUGAUAGAUAUGUAAUCUAGGUAAGUGAGCUAACCCAAGUUAACUUACAAAACCCAUGAUUCAUGUCCUGAGAUCGAGAUAACCCAAUAAAAUUUUUUUUAAAAAAAACCACAAAGCUAAUUUUGUUUCUUAAAAAAAAAAGUCAAUGCCAAGCAAUGAAAUUAAAAAAGAAAAUAAGCUAAAAAAAGAUGUCGAUUUAUGUUAACUUUUCAGACCCAUGACCUGGGUCAUUAAAUUAGAAGCGACAUAUAUAAAAAAAAAUUAUGAAACUAAAUUUCUAACAAACCAAACGCUAAAAGAUGAAAUCGAUGAAAAAAUAAUAAUUAAAAGAAUCAUGAUGAAAAUAAAAAUAAAAAAAUAAAUUAGAAGAAAACUAUAAUUUUUUGAUUGAAGGGUUAAACUAAAAAGAAAAAUAACUUCAAAUUUUUUUUAAAAAAAUAAAUAAUAAGAACAAAAAAAAAAUGUCUCUAUCAAGAAAUGCUCUUAUUCUUCUCCUACCACAGUUCAAUUUAGCAUGGUGCUUCAAAAGUGGUAGGUUCCAUUAAUAAUAUAUGGAGGUUAAUUUAAUCAAAUUCAUAUAUAGUAGAGUUACCUCUUAUAAUUUUUACUGGUUAGUAGCUCAUGCUCUCUUGCAAGUUGUACCAAUAUAUUUUUUUAAGUGUAAAAAAAUAUGUUGGCACUACUAGUGUAUUUUUUAGCAAGAAAAAAAAUUAAUUACGAAGGCAAAAUUUGUUACAUACAAUUAAUAAAAUAGAUCGAGUAUCAUAUAUGAUCAUAAAUAUUAAAAAGAACUACUAAAAUGAAUUACAAAUUAAGUCAUGAAGAUAAGAAACAAAUACAAGUUAAGACAUUUGAUCUCUGCGGAGAGAUAGUUGGGAAAUUGGUUGGGAAUUUUUAACCCAAAAAAACCUUUUUUCAACCUAUUUAAACAAAGUUAGAUGAUUGUAGUAGAAGAAAUUAAAGGACAAGAAAAAAAAGAGAACUGUCAUUACAAUUUGCAUUUAACCUACCUUCAUUAUGUCAUGGACUAUAUCAAAAAUUAAUGCAAAGAAAGUAAUAUUUUAAUAAAUUUCAAUUAAAAUCAAAGACCCAUUGAAUUGGGUCCUUUUUUGACCUAGGGUUAUAAUAAAAUUAUGUUAAAGUUGACUUCAUAUGACUUAUUUAGCCCAUCAAAAACCUGAUUUAAUUAGAAAAAAAUUAAAAUGAUGGCAUUUUAACAAUGUUUUUAAAAUAUUGAGAUAAUGAUAACUUGGAUUGACCUAGAUUAACAUGUCAAAUACAUGACUUGAUUAAGUCAAAUAACUUUUUUUAAAAUAAUUAUUUAUUUAACAAUAAAAUAAGAAAAAUAAGAAUGCUAAAAAAACCGAUUGAAUGUUUUAAAAAAACAUCAUUAUGAAAGAUUGUACAAAAAAAAAAACACUUGCUAAUAUAUAUAUAUAUAUAUAUAUAUAUAUAUAUAUAUAUAAUAUAUAUAUAAAGCUAUGAUUCUAGUUAAAAAAAAAGGUGUAAAAAUUGAAUGGUAUUCAAUAAAAAAAAUCUCUAAUAAUAUUUCUUAAUCAAUAUAUUUUAAUGAAUUUAAAUUAAGAUUCCAAUAUAAAAAAAUGACAAAAAAUAAAGGAUUGGUGCAUAGGUUUGGGUGGAUUAAAGCAUUUAAUCUAUAUAAAAAGUCAAACUCUUAGGCCUAAACUUUUUGUUUAUUUAUUUAUUGGUUCUAGGAGCGCCCAUAUUGUCUGCUUUCUCAGUUUUUAACCACUAGAGAGGUGGUUGGAAAAUCAAACUUGGAUUUUCAGGAUUUAAAAAAAUAUUUUUAAUCUAUUUUCAUCUAAAAAUAUCUUUAUAACCUAAAUUAAUCAAUCUAUAAACUCAAAAGAAUCCAAAAAUUAUUCAAAAGCAUAAAAUCAAACUGGUAGAAAAACAAAUCUCGCUCAACCCCAAUCUAGUUUUUCCAUCAAUAUAAAGGAUAAACAACAUCUUUAUGGAGUUUUUAUUAUCAAAUAAAACAUGUGGACACUAGAAAUAUAUUUUUUGUUACUAGAGCAUAGUUAAUCAACAACUUUCUCUUUUCUUUAUUGUUUUUAAAUGAGUUUAUCUUUUUUGUUUAUCAAACUCAAAUAUUAAAAAAUAAGUAAAAUAAAAUUUUAAAUCAAAACAAAAAAAAUCCAAACUAAAGGAAUAAAAAGAAAAAAAUCAAAAUAAAGGGAUAAAAAAUUAGAUAUGCCAAAUUUUGUAGGCAAAAAAAUUUUUUAAAAAGCACCGACAUAAACCGUGAACCAAAAAAAACAAUGAUAACAAAAUAGAAAGAAAAAAAAAAUCACCAAGUCUAAUUUUUAUAAAAUGAGUCGUGGUUAAAUGAAAUUGAAAACAAAAAUAUUUUAUCACCGACUAAAAAAGAGAAAUACUGUUGAAAUACACAAUGUAAUGCAUUGUACAGCCACGAUGAGUAGUUUUACGUUUUCGUUAUUUUUUAGCCGACAAUGCCUAGGUCGAUUCUUGCGUUUUAACCUGAUUUGGCUGAAGUUAUAAUGCAAAGUAAAUCUUCUUCUUCUUCUUUUAUAUAUAUAUAUAAAAUGACCACUAAACAAGCCCGAUCCCUUAACUUGUUUUGUUCAAUAAAAUUUGAUUCAUGGGUCAAUGGAUUUAUGGCAGAGAUCCAACUCUUGCCACAACUUCCUAAUCUUUCCUACAUUUUUUUUAUUUUUUCGUUAUUUACUAUAUAUUUUGAGAUAUAGUAAAAUUAUCAAGCCUUUUGAUCCAAAAAAGUUAAGCCUUUUGGGAAUAGUUUCGAAACCCGGUCCGGCGAGUCGAACUGGGACUUGGCUAAUUAGAAGCUGGAACCGGGCCGGGUUGAAGAAAAAACAGGGGAAGGAAAAACCCAGUGUGACCUGGUAAACCAUUUGACCUGGCAAGACCUAGUUAUAAACCCGUUGUCUUUUAUUUUUAUUUUUAUUUUACUAAAACGACAUCGUUUUGAUUUUUUUAAAAAAUUUGACCCGGCCGACCCGGUCAAAACCCGAAACCCUGGCCUUGGACCGGGCCGGGUCUUAAAACUAUGCUUUUGAGUGAGGGCCAUGAUGUUUUUUUAUUUUUUACACGGUAAAAAUAUUGUUUCACCUAUAAAAUCAAUAAAAUAUAGAACUGUUAACAAAAAAUUUUCUUACCUUUGCAUAAGUUUCUUAACAGAAAAAUACAAAUUUUCCCUCAUGGUCAAAAAAUUAUUGUAUUGUUAGAUAAGAAUGUUUUGGGGUUUACAAAUUUUACUAUACAAUGCAAAUACAUCUUUAAUCUUGGAAGAGACAAAACAUAAGCUUAGCAUUUUGGGGCAAUUUUUAUACUUUCAUAUGGAUAUUUUAUGUAAUUUUUAGGGUCGUGUGGGGCAUUUUGAAACUUUUAACAUUUUUUUUAAAAAAUUAAUGUUUAAAGUUGUUAGAGCGUGCUUAGCAUGUUCCAGCGCGUGAAUGGCAUACACGGCAUUCAGUCUGCGUGUGUGAAACCACUCAGUGGACAUAACUAGUCAUUCACCGCCUCCUUAAAUGCACAAUCAUAUCCUUUUCCAUUUAAAGUGGCACAUGACAGUUUACAAUUGUUGGAUUAUCGUCGGUGGUUGUUUGAUUUUUCCCCCUCUCUCCUGACAUGUAAUGUACAUCAUUAUCCUUUUUAUUUCUUACUUUUCAAUUCAGUCCCUAUUCUAUUAAUUUCUUAUUUCGUUUCUAUUUCAUUUAUAGAAGUUCUAAUUCUUUUUAAUUUAGUUCUUCAAUUGCAAUUUCUAUUUGGUUUUUUCAUUAGUUCUUAUUUUUUAAAAUUUCUAAUUUUAUCCUCGGUAUUUUUGUUGAAGUUUCUUUUCUUUUAAUUUCAUCAUUCGAUCAAAUUUUAUGUUGUUUUAUUUUUUAUAAUUUGACUCUCAUUAUUUUUUUUCUUUUAUUAAAGCUAUUUUUUAAUUCAAUUAAACCCUCCAAUUGAAAAUUUAUAUCCCUCUAAUUCAUGUUUGUUUCUCAACCUCAUUUUUUGGAUCCUUUAUGUAAUUAAUUUUUUUCUCAGUUUCAUUUUCGACAUGUAGUUUGUUAGGAUUUCAGCUUCGUAUAAUCUUAUUGUUUUGCAUUAAGUUUUUUUUUUUUAAUUUUGAUUUUUUGAUUAUCUUCAACUUUUUAUUAUGGAUUUAUUAUAGUUUCAUGACAUAGAUCAUGAAUUUCGCAUGUAUUUUUUUAAUAUAAUUUUUUUUAGUUGUUUUGUUUCUAUUUUAUUUUUCAAGAUAUUAUUCUAAUUCAUCUAUAAUUUUUUUAUACAAAUAAAAUUUAUUUUUUAAAAUAAAAAUGUUCGUUUUAAAUUAUAUUGCUGAUGUGUCCGGUCUUGUAUAAUAUUUUUAAUGACGUUGGUUUAUACGAGCAGUUUCAUUUAUAUUUAUCUUUUAAGUUAUGAGUUUUUCAGAUAUUAGAUAUAUCUUUUAUUUAUCUAAAUAAAUAAGUUUAGCAAACACAAUCAAAUGCAUGUUUUAUUUUAUGUUAUGGAUAUCUUGAUCUUGUUUACAUAGACUUUUUAGUUUAUAUUUUAAAUUUUUUUAUGUAAAAAAUCACAUUGAAGCAACCUGUAUACCUGGUAUGUUUUUUGGAAAAAAAAUUAUAAUCCGGGUUAAAUAGCUAGGGUAUAAUAUACACCGCAACAACCCUUUAUUCCUAUACUAUAUUAUGGAAAUACUCUUGCUCAGGUCUUUUACAGGGAAUCAAGGAGGCAAACGUUAAUUUUAUGUCCACUCGUCAAAAAUUCUGCUAAUGUUUAUAUCACUAAUUAACGGAUUAAAACAACGUUCCCCGCCAUGCUGUCUAACAUGACCAUGAUACCUUUUCUUGACUGUACGUAUCUGCAAACUUCACAUUCCAUCAUGCCACUUAACCAUAAAUCCUAUAUAUGAAUCCUACAAAACAACACUUUGGUAUUCACCUACCAAAUCGAGAGGUUUUAUUAUUUGUCCGGAAACAAGAAAGGAUCAAUGGAACUUCCCUUCAUCUCCCUGCUUCCCUAUGGAAUCCUCUUCAUCAUCUCUGCAGUUUCACUAUAUCAUACCUCAUAAACAAACACAAAUAUUCUCUCUCCUCCCUCAACAAUCUCCCGCCUGGCAAUACCGGUUUGCCAUUAAUCGGUGAAAGUCUGGAGUUCCUGACCACGGGGUAAAAGGGUCAGCCGGAGAAGUUCAUAUUAGACAGAAUGGCAAAGUUCUCAUCCAAAGUCUUCAAAACCUCGUUGUUUUGUGAACCAACUGCAGUAUUUUGUGGUGCAGCAGGGAACAAGUUCUUGUUCUCUAAUGAGAAUAAGCUUGUCAGUUGUCACUGCAUGGUGGCCUGAUUCUGUCAACAAAAUCUUCCCUUCCUCUCAACAAACUUCUUCACAAGAAGAAUCCAAGAAAAUGAGAAAGCUUUUCCCGCUGUUUUUCAACCCAGAAUCACUUCAAAGAUAUAUCAGUGUAAUGGAUGUGAUUGCACAAAGGCACUUGGCAUCUGAUUUGGAAGGCAAACAGGAAGUCAGUGUUUUCCCUCUGGCUAAGACGUACACUUUUUGGUUAGCUUGCCGCUUAUUUCUAAGCAUGGAAGAUCCUGAGGAAGUCCAAAAGGUUGCCAAACCCUUCAAUGAUUUAGCCGCUGGGAUUAUAUCCAUACCCAUUGAUUUGCCCUGGACACCCUUUAAUCGCGGGGUCAAAGCAUCAAAUGUGGUGCACAAGGAGCUUCUAAAGAUCAUAAAGUAGAGGAAGAUUGAUCCAGCGGAGAACAAGGCAUCCCCCGCACAAGAUAUACUGUCCCAUAUGCUAACCACAGCUGACGAUGAUGGGCAAUGCAUGAAGGAGAUCGAUAUUGCCGAUAAGAUACUUGGUUUGCUUGUUGGAGGUCACGACACAGCCAGUGCUGCUGUAACUUUUAUUGUCAAGCAUCUUGCAGAGUUGCCUCAUGUCUACACCUAGCUCUUGGAAGGUAAAAUAAAACUCCAGUAUGCAUGUAUAUAUACCUGCAAAUACUAUAUGUGUGUGUGUGUGUGUGAUUAAACAUUGUUGGAUGACAGAACACAGAGAGAUUGCAAAAACGAAAACACCUGGAGAGCUGUUGAAUUGGGAGGACAUACAAAGGAUGAGAUAUUCAUGGAACGUUGCCUGUGAAGUGAUGAGAGUUGCUCCCCCACUCCAAGGAGCUUUCCGAGAGGCCAUGACCGAGUUCAACCAUGCAGGUUUUACAAUUCCAAAGGGAUGGAAGGUCAGUUAAUUAUCCAUCAAGAUUAAUCGAUAUUAAUUUGUUUUAGCAAUUAGCAACUGGCAAAAUACGUCUUCUGAUGUUGAGACCAACUGGCAGCUGUAUUGGAGCGCAAACACUACACACAAAAAAUCCUGAAUGUUUCCCUGAGCCAGAGAAUUUUGACCCAUCAAGAUUCGAAGGCAAUGGACCGGCCCCAUACACCUUUGUUCCAUUUGGAGGAGGUCCUAGAAUGCGUCCAGGCAAAGAGUAUGCUCGACUGGAAAUACUUGGUUUUCUUGCACAACUUGGUGAAAAAGUUCAGAUGGGAGAAGCUGCUUCCUAAAGAGAGGAUAACUGUAGAUCCAAUGCCAAUACCUUCGACAGGCCUUCCGAUCCGCCUCCACCCUCACGAGGCUGCCUAAAUCAAACAAAUAUCAAAUUAACUUCCUUUUUGUCUCUAUUCAGCUUGUGUCCAAAGGAAUCGAUGUUUAGAGCAUCGAUUAGUUUAUCAUUGAUUCCAUUUCAAUUCAAAUGCUACUUGUUCAAACCGGGAGUGUCAUCAGGCCACGAAAGGGCUUAAACAGGAUUUUGCAGCUAAGUACUCCACUGAAAUACAGAUAACAAAAGUAUGACCUAAAUAUGAACGUGGAGUAAGAAUAUCAAGUCCUCCACAAAAGUCGUUGACCAGUGUGCACCAAAAAAGAAUCCUCCUCUCUCGAGGAAUUUCACACUUCUAAACAUAGAUUUUCUUGACAGAUAUCACCGUAAAUCAUUGAUCUCCGGCUGCUCUCAAAACACACUAUCACGGAGCGAUCCUCAGCGGGUCACGAGGGAAAAGGGAUGUUUUACGAAUGUUGUUCAGACCACAGAAUAGCAUCACCACACGCUCCAACCCCGCUCCAAACCCACCAUGAGGAGGGGCUCCAUAUCUGUAAAAAGAGCAACCAUGGGAAUCCAUCAACAGGCAAGGAAAAAGUUCCACUCCCUUUCAUUUAUGAAGGCUAAUACGAAGAAAACAACCAAGAAAAUCAGACUCCACAAUAUAAUAAAUAAAAAAUAAAACGAUUACUUUUAUCCCCAUUAAUUUAUGUAACACAUGAAAAUAUAUUAAAGAUGAUACACCAUAGAAAGAAAACAGCUCAAAAGAAUUAUCAACUCAACUAACUACAGAUCAUUCUCAGCAUUUUUCUGAUACUCCUUUUUGGUUCAUUUUUUACUUUUAUAGAUAGCGAAUGGAAUUCAAUAUAUCAAACAUUCUGUAAUAUAUAUUUUCUUGCUCCUUGUUGACAAGACUAUGUGAACAACUUCCGGUACAUAAAUACUGACGACUUAACAUUUAAUAGACUCAACUCAAAUAAUUAGAUACUACCAUCACUGUCACAACAUCCAAGCAACUACCUUCAGACAGGGAGAUCCUUUUGGUGCCAUAUAGAUGCAAAAUGGGUGAAGAAACCUUGCCAGAUACAAUGCAUCAAGUUUCAAAAGAGAACAACAACAAGAGUACAUAAACUAAUUUCACCAUGAACACAGAACAAAACAAGAAGAAUUGCACCUUCAUUUUCAAUUUUUGCAUUUCUUUAUCAAAGAAAAUCAAGGAAAUACAAAAAAAUACCUGAAAGAAUCAGUGUAUGUUGAUAUUGUGCUGACAUCAAUCCCACAUGCCUGUGCACGUUCUACCAAUAAUUCUGGUACAUGGACACGCUGUGCUCCAGAAAUUAUCUCCUCACCUAACAGACAUGGGUCAAGUCAAUAAAAUUCACAACCAAUUAGUAAAAGAGUAUCAUAUCUCCAUUUGAUACACAUUUAAAACAUGUCCAAGCAUGCACAUAUUCAAGACUCCAGAUAUAAAGCAAACAGUGUAACACUCAUACUAAUGAGAUAAAAAUACUCAUCAAAUGGUUUACCUCGAAUAAAGACAUCAAAUGAGUUACUGUAUUUUGGAUCAUCGUAGCAUGGCAUGGUGUAGAAUGGCCUAACAGCCAAAGGAUACCGGUGAAGAAUGUAAAACUCAGUGCCGUACCUACCAUAAGAAGUAAGGAUUAGCCCAUUUGAUUACUUUGGCUACAAUAGAGAAAAUUCCCCAGUCAAUAAAUUGAACACAGAAAAUAUGAAAUUACUUCUCCAAAACAAGCUGGCCAAGUUUUCUCUCUGAUUCUGUAUUCAAGUCCCCAUAAGGAUCAAUUUCCACUCCUGCUUCCUGCAAAAGGAAGUUGAAUUUACGAUUGAGCAUGUAACAUUUUCCAUAGGUAGGCAGCAGCUGUAUGUCAGCCUUAGCAAGCAUAAGCAGCAGUUUUAGUCGCUAUAAUUGAAAAACAACUAUUUUAUACUGUUGCCAAAUGCCUCACAUUUUGUUCUUCAUACAAAACCAACUUAACUGGCAUUUUGAAAAGAAAAUCAAGGACUCCAACAAACAUAAGAGUCAUGGAGAGAUUACACAAGAGCCCUGGACAAGUACUUUACGGUCUUCCCUUUCCAUCCUAUUUGUAUAUGGCUGUCGUACAUGACACCAUAUAUCGACAAUUAAAACAGAGAAAGCACCUUAAUGGGAUAUUCUGCCAAAUAACAGAUACAGAACUUCCUCAUAUAGUUCCUAGGUAGUUUCAGUUCAAAUCAAUCAUCAUAGCCAAAAACAUAUCCUCUCUAUGUAUAUGGUUUAUUCCAUAAAGAAGGGGGGGCAAAUUCUAAACUAAGAGCAUGUCAAAAUUCGAAAAACAGAACAUUUAUGGAAAUAAGAUCACUUAAUAACAGUUUAUGAGUGAAAGUUGUUGCAUGAAGUUUUACAUAUCAACAAAUUGCCUUUCUCGUGUAUAAGAAAUCAAACUUUUAACUCUUAAGUGAAAUGACCUACAUCAUAAAAGUGUGUACGUCAAAAUAGGUGGUAAGGGUUCAGUUCAAUAGCAGUGCAACGGAGGCCAUUCAGGAUCAGUGUCGAAUAACAUAUGUUGGCCAAUACCUCUUAUGCUCCCCUCUUCUUAAUAAGUCAAUUAUUCUCCCACCAUCCUAACACUGCUUGCAGACCUAAUCUUUACUACCUUAUUGGGAAACUAGUUAUUUACUGUCCUUGACCACAUCAUAUUGAACAUGCAAACAAUCAAAAAAAUUUAUAUCCUCUCAAGUUGCGCAUUCGACCCCCAUCUUCAAAUCUUAAGGACAGUGAAAGAGGGCAUUCAUGCAUGCAUAGAGACAUAUAUAAAUUUAUUCUCUUACCUUGAGCAUUUGAACCCCCUCUUCAAAUUUUAGGCGCAGAGUCUUUGGCAGGUACUGUGAGCAAGUAAAUAGGAGAGAUCAGGUGGAGGAUUCAAAAUGAUGCACAAGUUAGUGCUCAUAAAUCACACUUCUUAAAGUUUGUCCAAUAUAUUAGCAAUCAAUGUCUUGGACUCGAAAUAAUAAUAGUACUGAAAUUUGUUACAAAUAAUGACCUUCAAAGGUUCAAAUGGAUAUUGCCUCCCAACUGCUUCAAGAUCUUUGCUGCACUUUUUAUUCAAAUGGUCAAACAUUGUGACAAAUAAAUGGUCAACAAUAUCCAUCACCUGCAUAAACAAACUCAAAUUUUCAGCUAAACAUCAAUCAUCAUCUCAAUUCAGAUGCCCUUGACUAGCUAACCAAACAGAAUCCUACCUCGGUGUAGUGUUGCUUAAUCUCCAUUUCAACAUCAAGACCGGUAAACUCGCAUAAAUGCCUAUGAGUGUAAGAAUCCUCUGCCCUAAAAACUGGACCAAUCUCAAAAACACGCCCAAAAUCACCACAAAUUGCCAUUUGCUUGUGAAGUUGAGGUGACUGAGCCAAGCAGGCAGCUUGCCCUUUGUAGUCCAGCUUAAACACAGCAGAGCCACCUUCACUGGAGCCUGCUAUCAGUUUUGGUGUGUGGAUUUCAACAAAAUCUUCUGACAAUAAGAACUGCCUGAAUAUCUGCACAAUGGUAUAAUACAUUCAAAGACUGAGAUGUAUAGUCGUGCAAUAAUUGUGUAUGUGCAUGUGUGAGAGAGAAAGGCAGGUGGGGUGGGGGGAUUAGUCUGACACAUAGAGCUCCUAGAUAUUCAGUGCACAGACAACUAGAAACUGCAUACCAUACAAAGACAAGAUAUUAUUUCUGUUAAAUUAGUAAAAGGUUAUCUUGUUCCUCUGAAAAUAGAGGAUAUUUUUUUGCUUGUUGAAAAUGAAAACAAGAAAUAAUACAAUUUAAAGGAGAGGAACAAAAAUAGGAGAACAAAAGAAAUAAAACGUUCCUCUUUUUCUGUUUUUAUAAUUCCAAUAAAUAAUAUAUUACAGGAAGAAAGAGGUCCCUGUAAAACAAUGAACUUGACUCGAUAAAAGUAGGUUGAAUUCACCAAGGUAGUGAGCAACUCAUGAUUUUCAAGUGUUUAUAUAAAUAUUUACACAACACAAUUAAACCACAAAGUAAGGAGGAUGCAAAUGUAAGCCUGCCUAUACCAAGUUUAAGAAACCCAAGAAAGACAUUUUCCAAGCGUCUGAGCAAUGGACAGAACUAAUUAAGAAUUUUUUCUUUUAACUGUUGAGGAUGACAACAAGUACUCAAGCAUUUGACAAAACCCUUGUUGUUUAUGAUAACUAGCCACAAUUUCUGUCAUUUCUAGAAGGCAAGAUUUCUGUGUCAAGUUUUUUUCUUCUUACGUGUGCUAUGAAACAUUCUCCACGAACCUCAAACAUUCAAUCCCAGAAUGUGAACAACACUUGAUGAAAAUUUUAUUAACCGUACAACACCUAAACUUGAACGAAUUAUGAAGAUGCAAAAGUAAAUAUCUUUACCAUCACAAAAAAAAAGGUUAGAAAAAAGAAAGGAACUCACAUUGCAAACUUGACAUUGAAUGCGGAAAAUCCCUUGGUUAGCAGAUGUUCGAAAGUCCAGAACUCUAUAAUUCAGCCGAGUAUCUUGAUUGACACGAACAAGUUGUUCUCCAGCCUGCACGAGUCAAACAGUCUAGUAUUUGGAUUGAACUAUUUAAGAAGUAGUUCUAAAAAAUUACAGCUACCACAAAAUAACCAGGAAACAACAGAGACGAGAUUAAAUUUAUACCUCCAAAGCCUCUUCAAUUUCCUUCUCACUUCGAGAAGCAUCCUCAAUAUUAAUGGGAAGUGUCGGCAUAGCUUUGUCAACACAAUAAAGCUUACUAACUUGAAUCUCAACCUGCAAAAAAGAAUUAACAAACAUAAGUAAUUCAAAAAGAAAAAACCAAAAAAAAAAAAAAAACCAGACCUGCUGUGUGGUGCCCUUAAUAGCAAUAGAGGGGACAGAAACAACGCCAUGGAUAUCAACAAUUGACUCCCGGCUCAAUCCAGCGGCAAACUUGACCAUCUGUUUACUAACGACAUCAGGCCGCGCAGUAACCACACACUGCACAGUAAAACCUUUCGCUCUAACCACAACAAAUGCCAUAUUUUUUCCAACAGCACGCGUGGUUUGCGCACGGCCGCGAAUCAACACCUCUUUUUCUGUCAACUCAUGAGUCAGGUUUCCGACUUGUGUCCAAGCUUUUAGAUCUGCUUCCACCUUCGAUUGCAGAUCUUGAAGCGGAAUAUUACCAUAGUUCGCCGCGAGUGGGUCCUCCUCGAUAGAAAGUGAGGACGCGGCGGCGGCGGCCAAAGCGGCUUCCUGACGGCGACGUAACUUCUCUUGCUUUGCUGCUUCCUUCUUUGCAGCUUUUUUGCUCGCUGAUUUUGAGGAUUCAUCUUCUCCUUCUUGAUCUGGUUUGGGGAUUUCGGAUUCGGAUGACAUGGUGAUUGCGUUGAUGCUACUGGCGAGAGUAACGAGUGAAUUAGGAAGGAGAAAAUAAACGAGAUGCGAAGAGAGAUAGAGAGGUAUACAAUUUAUAUAAAUAUUUAACUCGUUUUUAUAUUUAAAAAGUUGCUCUAUUAUUAUUAUUUUAAUAUCAUUUAUACAUUAUUAAUUUACUUGUCCCGCUACAUUGCUGAUUCGAUUACAAAAAAUUAAAUAUAUAAUUAAUAUUCAAAUUAUAAAAAUAAAAUUAAUAUUGUUAUUAAAUUUAGCAUAAUUAGUUAAUCUUUAAACUUUUUCAUAUAAUUUUUUUUGCUAGAGUUUUAAAUUAAAUCAUAUAAAAAUUAUUUUGACAUAACUCAAUCAACUUUGCGGGUUUAAAAAUAACUCGGAUAACUAUUAAAAGCAUGGUUAGACUUUAAAAUAUCUUCAAGUUGGUAUUUUUUUUUAAUAUUAAAACAAUUAUAUAUUAGAUCAACUCAGGUUUUAAAGCUUAAUAAGUCAAACUCAUGACCCGAAUAAUACACUCUACUAGGUUUAAUAUUUUUGUUUUCUAAAACUAUUUUUACUUGGUUAUAUGAUAAAAAAAAAAUAUUCAUGAAAUCGAAUAUCAACAAAAUAUUGAAAGUUUGUUAAAAUUUUAAUAAACUUAUAAAAAGUAAAUCGAAACAAAUUAUGAAUUUUAAUUAAAAUCAACCAAUAUUGAAUGAUGAAAUUGAAGGGAGGAAAAUCUUUUGAAUCGAUUUCUUGUCCAGCUCAAGUUUUAAAUUAAACCAUAUAGAAGUUGUCUCGAUGUGAUCCAAUCAACUUGACGGAUACAAAAACAACUCCGAUGACUUGUAAAAAUGUUAUUAGACUUUAUAAAGACUUAAAAAUGAUAUCUUAUUUUUUUUUAAUAUUGAGACAAUUAUAUAUUGGACCAACUCAAAUUUUAUAGCUUAACAUGUCAAACCUACAAUCCAAAUUAUGAACUCUACCGGACUUAAUAUUUUUAUUUUUAAAACUAUUUUCUACUUAAUUAUAUGAUUAAAAAAAUAUUUGUAACAUCAACUAUCAACAAACUAUUGGCAGAUUGUUUAAAAUUUAAUAACCCUAUAAAAAAUAAAUCAAAAUAAAUUAUGAAUGUUAAUUUAAAAUUAAUUAAUAAUUGAAUAAUAAAAUUAGGAAAAAAAUUGUUUUCAAUACAAUUUUACCAAAAAUCUUUUUAAUGUUUCUAGCAAGUUGUAAUUAUUGCUCUUUUUUUUAUGCUAAAUGUUUAUUUUAUUGCAAUUCUAACUCUUGAGUCAUAAACAUACAAUAUUGAUUAUUAAUAAAAAUCUAAAAGAGGAGGAGAAGUUAAUGUAGCUUAGAAAGGAAUCAUUAUUCAGGAUAGUGGUUUAAUAAAAAUAUUUUCCUAUUUAAUUAGACAUUGAAGAUAAGGUGGUUUUUUGAACAUGAAAUAGUUAUUUUUUACAAAUUAUAUAGGGUUAACAAAAAACUAAAGGAAAAUGAGAAGUUAUUGUAACUUUAGAAACAAAUCAUUGUUCAUUAGAGUAAUGAUUUUACAAAAUUAUCCCUAGACAAAAAAAAAAACCCCUUGGUUCAUUGAAGGCAACAUGGUUCGAGACAAUUAUCUUUUUAUAAAUUGUACGAUGUUAACAAGAAUCUAAAGGAAAAGGAGAAGUUACAGUAAUUCUAUAAGCAAAUCAUUAUUUAUUACGAUAAUAAUUUAACAAAAUUAUCCUUGACCAUUUCACUAGACAUUAAAGACAAAAUAAUAUUUCCACCAUGACAUAAUUAUCUCUUGCAAAUCGUAUGAGGUUAACAAAAAUCUAAAGGUAAAGGAGAACUUAUUGUAGCUCUAUGAACAAUCACUAUUCAUUAGAAUAGUGAUUAGACAAAAUUGUUACUGAUCUAGAAACCAUUUAAUUAAACAUUGAAAGCAAUAUGAUAUUUUCACUAUAAUAUAAUUGUUUUUUACAAUUUGUAUAGGAUUAACAAAAUCUAAAGGAGAAGUUAUUUGAAUAAUGAUUUGACAAGAUAUUGAAGGCCAUGUGAUAUUUCCACCAUUAUAUAAAUUGUCUUUUACAAGUUGUAUGAGGUUAAAUUAGUCAUUUUUAUUUUUGUUGCACAAUACAUUUAUCAAUUUAACCAUGGAAUAAAAAAAUAUAAUGUCUUUCACUCAAGGAUAUUUGGGUCUUUUAAAAAAUCAAAAUAACCUAACUUCAAAGUCAAAUAAAACAAAAAUAUAUUACAAGUGUAAGUCAUAAGUUGAUCUAAUUAUUAAAAUAUUAAAGUUUACAAAUCAAUUGUAAGCUUUAAAGCAACCGUUUAAUAUUCUAAAUAUUUUCCAAACUAUCUAAAAGAUUUAUAAAUAAAUAGAGGGUGAAAGCCACGCACUUAAUAAUUAAUAGUUUAUAUCUCUAAUUUGAUCAAUUAUGUUGAAACUUACUAAUAUAUAUAACUUAAAAUCAAUUCAUUUAUUAUACUAGAAUAUUAAUACUUUCAAAAAUUCAGAAGUCAAAAAGCACACUUAUAAAUCAUUCAUAAAUGUAAAUAAUUUAAAUCAAUAAUUUUGAACACAAACUUAGAUUUUGCACCCAUAUUCAAAGCUAAAUUUAGAGUAAAAAAACUAUAGUUAAUCUAACCACAAUAAGUCAUAUUUUGCCCCAUAACCAAGCAUUAAAUUCUAAAUAAACAUGUUUAUAAGUGCCAAUGUAAAACCUUGAAAAGUCGGGUCCAAAAUGUAUAGUUACUCUUAUCACAAUAACAAUGUCUCAUGUUUUUUCCUAUGACUAGAUAUCAAAAUAUAAAUACAAAUAUCUAUAAAUAUCAAUGUAUAACCUCUAAAAACUGAGUCCAAAGCAUAAUCAAUUAAAAAAACUUCAUUAAAACAGCAUUCACUCUUUAAAAAUGAUUAAAAAAUCAAAUAUAAAAAACCCUUGAUUUUUAAACCUUUUUGAGUAAUUCUAACAUGCAUGUAAAAUCUCAAUUAAAAGAUAAUAAUAAAUAACACACGCCUUAAAUCAAUAAAAAAAAAAGUAAAGAUUUUUUGCUCCAGUUCAAAUCUCUCUCUUGAUCUUCUUCUCUUUCUUUGUUGAUGUGGAUUUUGAUUGUACGACAAAAAAGAGUGCAAGUUAAUUUAGGAUUUUAUUUUAUUUCCAUUCUAUAAUUUAUCAUGUAAUCACUAAUAUACUCAUGACUAUUACUUAUAAUACCCUUAAUUAAUAAUAAAAAAAACAUAAUGGAAAACCUAAUUAAUUAUUUUUUUUAUCUAUUAUUACUAUUUUUAAAUCAACAUAUAUAUAAUUAUCAAAAAAUGUGAAAUGUCCAAUAUUCCCCUAAAAGUUCUGGUUAUUACAUCUUUACAACUUACAAUCAAUUUAAAAAAACAAACAAACCGCACCCUUACAUAAAAAAUCUUAAGAUCAAUGUAAGAACUAUGAGAUGGUCAUAUUUUCAAAAUAUUCAAGAUAUCAUUAGAAGAAAAAAAAAAGAGCUAUAAGAUUGAAAAGAAUCCCAAGAAAGGUAACAACUUCUCUCUUAAACCCAAAUAGCAUAACUAAAUCACAAUGUUACACAUGCAUUUGUUGGAAAGUCAAAUCUGUCUGUCAUAUCCUUUGUAUCAUUAACAAGUAUUUGUUUCCCGUUUGUAUUCCUUAAUUAUAGUUAGUUUCCUUAGAGUUCUGCUGAAUUGUAGCUAUGACAGCUUAAUUAUAGGAAGUGAUAGACUUGUAGAAAAUAGUUAGCAAGUUGUAUAAGUUUGCACUCUGACAUCAAUGAAAAUUAAUCCAACAAAUUCUCUCUUUUAUUCACUUUUUCAUGGAUUAUGUCUGCUCCACCGUUUACUCCAACCAAUCGACUUCCCUCGUUCCAAUUUCGACCAAAGGUACACGCUACCCACUGUCAAAUUUUGUUUCAUAUCAUAGAUACCAGCCUGCUUAUCACUCCUUUGUUGCCCAAAUUGGUACUGUCACGGAGCCCAAGUCUUAUUCUGAGGCAGCCGCUCAGCUUGAGUGGCAAGAAGCAAUGCAUUCGGAAUUACAGGCUCUCAAAGCUAAUGGCACUUGGUCCCUCACUCCUCUUCCGGCUGGUAAGACUCCCAUUGGUUAUCGUUGGGUUUUCAAGAUCAAACAUAAGUCUGAUGGAUCAAUUGAGCGGUAUAAAGUGUGCCUUGUGGCAAAAGGUUUCACUCAAUUGGAGGGGAUUGACUAUCAGGAUACUUUCUCUCCAACAGCUAAGAUCAUCUAUGUUCAUUGUUUAUUGGCUCUGGUUGCUGCCCGUGGCUGGUCUCUUCAUCAACUCGACGUUAAUAGUGUUUUUCUCCAUGGUGACCUCCACAAAGAAAUUUACAUGUCUCCACCGCCGGGGCUUCGAAGAUAGGGGAGGAACACUUGUUUUGUCGUCUCCACAAGUCAUUAUAUAGGUUGAAACAAACAUCUCGUCAAUGGUUUGCUAAAUUCUUUGAGGCCAUCCGUUCAGCUGGGUAUGAACAAUCAAAAGUUGAUUACUCUAUGUUCAUCAGAAAGCAAGGCAAGUCCUUUACUACUCUUUUGAUAUAUGUUGACGAUAUUUUAAUUACUGGCAAUGAUCCCGUGAGUAUAACUGAUAUCAAGAAGUUCUUGCAUAAUAAAUUUCACCUUAAAGACCUUGGUAAAUUAAAGUAUUUCCUUGGUAUUGAGAUUUCUACAUCUAGGACUGGUAUUUUUAUUUCUCAACGGAAGUAUGCAUUGGAAAUCAUUAAGGAUGCAGGUUUAUUAGGGGCAGCUCUCAUCAAUACCCCCAUGGAACGUGGUUUAAAAUUGUCUGACAGGAGUGAGCUACUCAAAAAUCCAGAACAAUAUAGGCGAUUAGUUAGGAGAUUAAUAUAUCUCACAGUUUCAAGGCCAGAUAUUACAUAUUUUGUCCACAUAUUAAGCAGGUUUAUGCAUCAACCUCAAAAAGAUCAUUGGGAAGCAACUUUACGGGUUGUGCGGUAUCUAAAAUCUAUGCCUGACCAAGGCCUCUUCUUCUCCUCAACCAGUGAUCUUCGACUGCGAGCUUACUCUGAUUCAGAUUGGGCAGGAUGCCCUCUUACAAGAAGAUCGACUACAGGAUACUGUGUAUUUCUAGGCCCCUCAUUAAUUUCAUAGAGGUCGAAGCGCCAGAAAACAGUCUCCAUUUCUUCAGCCGAAGCAGAGUAUCGUGCAAUGACAAGAGCUUGUUGUGAAUUGACAUGGCUUCGUUAUUUACUUAGAGAUUUGGACGUUUUGCAUCCAGAGUCUGCAUUGCUAUAUUUUGACAAUAUGGUUGCAAUACACAUAGCAACAAAUCCAAAGUCAAAUUUGUCUGUCAUAUCCUUUGUAUCAUUAACAAGUAUUUGUUUCCCGUUUGUAUUCCUUAAUUAUAGUCAGUUUCCUUAGAGUUCUGCUGAAUUGUAGCUAUGACAGCUUAAUUGUAGGAAGUGAUAUACUUGUAGAAAAUAGUUAGCAAGUUGUAUAAAUUUGCACACAUCAAUGAAAAUUAAUCAAACAAAUUCUCUCUUUUAUUCACUUUUUCAACAUUAUCGUUAAAGAAAUCACCACUUGCAUAUAACAAAUAUUACUAUGCCUAAUUAAUUAUUAUAAAUAUGAAUAAUAAACAAUAAUUAUAUGGAAGUUAUAUCAAAAAAAUAUAUAUAUUACGUUACAAAAAUUCAUACUUUAUUUCCAACAAAAACAUGCAUGAAGGUCAGAUCACCCGCAUAUAAGCAGGUUACUAGCUCGUUUUUUCUUUAAUCAUAAUAGUUAUAAAAAAAAUAUCAUUUUCAAUGAAAAAUAUUUUUUUAUCUUAUAAAAGGAGAAAAUAUUAUUUAAAAUCGUAAAAAAACAUUUUAUGUAAUUAAAAAUUGAAAAAUGUAUAUAAUUAUUGCAAUGCAAAUCUUAUCUUAUUAUAUUAUAAAUUUAAAACACUAACCAUAGCAAGCACCAUCAAAUUCAGAAUUCAAUCAUUAAUUGUUAUUUUUAUGUUUCAAUGGAGGGAUGACACAAAGCAUGUCAAGAGUGUAAUGGCAAAAUAUGCCUUAGAAUACUUUCUUGUUAAACUAUAUAUUAAUAAAUAAACUUAAAAGAAAAAUUAUUUCCAAAUUGCAUUAUAUUAUCCAUAUAAAAUAACUUAAUAAAUUCAAUUAUUUUUUUUUACUUUUAAUUAAUUAUAAAACAUUUAUUAACAAGUUAAAUAAUAUUUUUUAUCUAAAAAUAAUUAACAUCAUUUAAUAAAUUUAGACAUCAAUUGACACUAAGAUAAUAUUUGAAAUCGUGGUAAUUGUUUUUUUUUAAAGUAUUUUUUAUUUUAAAAUGUAUUAAAAUAAUGUUUUUUAUUUUUAAAAUUUAUUUUUGAUAUUAACACAUUAAAACGAUCUAAAAUCAUAAAAAAAUUAAGUUGAAAAAAAAAUUUUAAAUACAUUUUGAAUACAAAAACAAAUAUACUCGGAAUUCCUUAUUCAAACGUGAAUUCCUUUUGGAAAGUGAAUUCCGGGGAAAGUGAAUUCCUGGAAAGUGAAUUCCGGGAAAGUAUUUUCCGAUGUUUGGUAGUGUUAUGGAAAAUGAACUGGAAAACACUUUCCAGUGUUUGGUUAUGUCAUGGAAAAUGAGCUGGAAAAUAACUUAUUAAUAUUUUAUUUUUCUCAAGUUUAUUAAAAUAAUGAGGAACAAAUCUUACAAAUUAAAAAGUUGAAUGAGAAUGAAAUUGAAAAAAAUAUAUAAUUUCAUAAAUUAUCUCAAAUAAAACAAAUAAUAAUCAAAAUAAUAGGGAUCAAAUCUAAAAAAUUAAAAAAAAUGAAAAAUGAAGAAAUUAAAAUAAUAAUAAUCAACAUUUCAUAAAUUAUUUCAAAUAAAAUAAGUAACAAUCAAAAGAAUGAGGAUCAAAUUUGAUAAAUAAAAAAUUUCAAUAAAAAAAUGAUAAGAAAAAAGCAAAUAGCAAUUAUAAAAAUAAGGACCAAAGUUAAUAUAAAAAUAAAAUUUUAAGAGAUGAAAUUGAAAAAUAAAUAUUCAAAACAAAAUAUAUAUAGCAAUCAAAAGUUUGAGGAUCAAAUUUGAUAUAAUCAGCAAAUAAUGACAUUUCUAAAUUUUCACAACUUCCGGAAAGUGUUUUCCCCUCAAAUUUUUCAGGAAAACACUUUCCUGAAAACCAAGCCAAAUUUUCCUUUUACUGGAAAGUGUUUUCCAUUGACCAACUUUCCUACUGGCAAACAAACACAAGAAAGUUUGGAAAGUGCUUUCCCGGAAACCACUUUCCGGAAAACAAACACAGCUAAAAGGAAAACACUUUCCUGAAAACCAAGUCAAUUUUUUUUUUGACUAAAAUUGACUGGAAAGUGUUUUCCGUUGACCGGAAAGUGUUUUCCGCUGACCGGAAAUUGUUUUCCGUUGACCAACUUUCCUAAUGACAAACAAACACAGGAAAGUUUGGAAAAUGGUUUUCCGGAAACUACUUUCCGGGAAACAAACAAGGCCUAAAUACAAAUACAUUUGCAGUUAACACGCAGUAGUUUGAACUUUGAAGUUUUGAGUUUCAAAAACUUCAAAACAUGGCUGGUCCCGUGAUCUAGUUUAAUUUGUUGAUAAUCGCAAGCCUUUAUGGGCCCACAAGGCUAGAUCCAGAUUAAUUCAAAUAAAUAAAAGGCCCAAUCCUCAUCAUCCUCAUGAUGUUUUGAAAUUUUAAAAACGAACCCAACGGUCUAGUGCUUUCAAAUUCCUCAACCUGAUCUACUAUUUCAGUUUCUUUGUUCUCUCUGGAAAGUGGAAUCCUCCCUACAAAAAUCACUAAGCGUUUAAGCAAUGGAAGUUCAAAACUGUUCAGUAAAAACACCCAAAUUCCUUCAAACAAAACCCAUGGACCCCAGCUGCACCUCUAAGGUUAGAGUAAUUGUAAGGGUACGCCCCUUUCUCUCUCACGAAAUUCCUGCAAAAAAUAGCAACCCAACUUCCUGUAUUUCUGUUCUUGAUCCAGAUCCUGACUCCAGAGAUGAAGUCACUGUUCAUCUUCAAGAUCCUGACACCAGGUCAGUGCCUUUUCUUUUACUUUCUCUACGGGCUGCUGUUAAUAAUUUCGUGGGUUUUUUUAAUUGUGGUUUCUUUUCUGUUCUCAUUUUUUAAUGCGCAGCCGAAAGGAGUGCUAUCAGUUGGACGCUUUUUUUGGUCAAGAGGAUAACAAUCUUAGAUCCAUUUUUGAGAGAGAAGUGAGCCCUUUAAUUCCCGGGAUGUUUAGGGGCCGUAAUGCUACAGUUUUUGCUUAUGGAGCUACUGGCAGUGGGAAGACCUACACUAUGCAGGUAUGCUCCCAAAAGAGACUCCCAGCUCCUUUUCUUUCCCGGAGCAGUUCAACUCCUAAAUUAGUACAGCUUGUUUGGCUGCUGACAAACCUAAGGAAAAAGAAAGAAAAAGUAAAGGGCUAACCUAACCUCAUACUUUUGGGUCCCCAUCCUAUCACAAAUCCUCAAUUACUCCUUCCGUCUAAAAUCCUUGUAAUAUUUUUACUGAAAACGUUAAGUUCUUAAAAAUUGCCUCAUUUUAUUACAAUAAAUAGGUAUUUAAAAUGGAAAACAUUAGACGGUUUUGAAUGGAGACCUAAUUGAGAAUUUUCUGGUACAUUAGGGGUUAUUGGUGUAUGGUUGGAGAUUAAUCUGAGGUGACUUGGAAGCGUUAAGCUGUUUUGCUGUUGGGAAUAAAGUCUUUAGCAAAUAUAGUAGCAUUGACGUUCAGUGUAUAUGCAUUUUGUUACUUAAGAUUUAGCAGCCAGUGAAUUUUGAGUUUUUUCGCUGUUAUAAGUGAGUCUAAGGCCACUGAGACAUGGUUGAUGCUGCAGGGUACCAACUUGUUGCCAGGGCUAAUGCCACUGGCCAUGUCCACUAUCCUGUCUAUGUGUCAGAGAACAGGAAGUAGGGCAGAGAUUUCAUACUAUGAAGUGUAUAUUGAAAGGUGUUAUGAUCUAUUAGAAGUUGGAUCGAAAGAAAUUGUUAUUCAGGAUGAUAAAGAUGGGAUGGUGCACCUCAAGGGACUAUCUCGAGUCCCAGUCAAUUCAAUUUCUGAAUUUCAAGAGGUGUUUUCUCGUGGAAUUCAGAGGCGUAAAACUGCAGACACAGGUAUCAAUGAUGUCUCUAGUAGGAGCCAUGGAGUUCUUGUGGUAGCUGUCUCCACACCAGGUAGCGGUGAUUCUGGGACUGUUGUGUCCGGGAAGCUUAACCUAAUCGAUUUGGCAGGUCAUCUCUACACGAUACCUACUCAAAAUUGACCACGAUUCGGUUAAUCUAGACUCUGUUUUUCUUAUUUCUAUUUGUUAUUUUAUCAGGUAAUGAAGAUAACAGGAGGACCUGUAAUGAAGGGAUACGUCUACUAGAGAGUUCUAAAAUCAACCAGUCAUUGUUUGCAUUAUCUAAUGUUAUCCGUGCACUGAACAACAAAGAACCCCGAGUACCAUAUCGAGACAGCAAAUUAACUCGUAUUUUGCAGGACUCUCUUGGAGGAGCCAGUCAUGCUUUGAUGGUUGCUUGCCUUGUAAGGAGCAUUCAUUCAUCCAUCUUGUCAUCAGAUGCUCUUAACAUUCUUGGAUACGUGAUUUUAAUUGUGUUUGUCAAUGGUAGAAUCCAGGAGAGUACCAAGAAUCUGUUCGAACAGUGAGCUUGGCUGCUAGGUCAAGGCACAUUUCAAAUUUUGUUCCGUCAACCCAUAAACAAGAUACUCCGAAGGUUAAAGUUGAUAUGGAGGAAAAACUGCGAACUUGGCUUGAAUCUAGAGGGAAGACAAAGAGUGCACAAAGAAUAGAUGCAUAUGGUUCUCCAUUCCCUCCAAGUUCUAUCAAGAAACCAAAUUACAGCUCCGCAAAAGCUAAGGUCAACACCUACCGGAACACUUGUGACGCUAAAGAGAGGUAUGGACUUAAUUAAGCUGAUGAAAAUCUCCAAUUAAAUUGAAGCCUAGUUAUUUGAAAGUGUCGAAUUAAAUUGCGGUCUGAUUAUUUGAAAUUCUCAAAGCACAACUUGAUCUUUUUUCUUUUUUCCUAUUGCUGAUUUAUAUGGUUAGAUCCUAAACUGAUUUAUGUUGUUCACGAUAUGCUUAAAUCUUACGCAGGGGAUCGUCUGUACCAUUCAGAAGUUUAUUUAAUGAUGAAGGUUUAACUGAUUCAUGCUUGGCAGUGAGUUCUUAGCAACUUGUGUCAUUUGCAGACUUGUUUCCUUCCACAGAAACAAAUAGAUGUUAAAUUUUAGUAUUUAACAUAUAAAUCUAAAUUCAAUUUUCAGAGUACGAAUUGUGCUGCCGAGGAAAAUAGGGAAAAGAUUGGUGCUGAUUCUACUGAAAUUUCCUUGGAAUCAUCAAUACACUUACCCAGUAUGCAGCCACUAUCCGAAGACUUGUUAUUUUCUUGUUUCAUGCAUCUAAGGAAUCCAAUCAAAUUUGAAUUAAUUUUAGUUUAUUUUAUGUUAAUCUAUAAGAGGUUUCUUAAGGAUUUAAAGGUGAAAACUUUGCAAUUAUGUAGUUGAGCCAUUGGACAAGGAAUAUAAGAUAACAUCAACAAAGUCAAAUAACUCAGUUGGAACAUCACCCAUUGCUGAAGUGAAGUGUACAGAGAGAAGUCCUUUAAGAAAAGUUCUCUCCCCCAUCAAUGCAAAUGUAAACCAAAUUCGCCACGAGGAAGUAGCCUGCAAGUGUCCAGUUCAGUUUGAGCCAAAAACACCUUCUACUGCAACCUGUGCAAAAGACAAGUUUGUAACAAUCAGCACCCCACUUGACAAAUUUAAUGCAAUCAGUUCUAGUUUAAAGGUAAAAUAUAAGAAUCAACUUUGUAAAGCACACUAAAGUUUCUUCAAGUUGUAGAUCUGAUUUCUAGAAAUUUGAUGUGCAGAGCUCUCUUAUGCAAGAAUAUGUUGACAUCUUGAAUACCGCUAGCAGGUAACUUCUGCUCAAACCCCUACAUUUUGUUUUGAUUUUCGAAGUUUUGUACAAAGAAACUAAACUUGCAAUUGGCUAUUUCAUUUACAGAGAGGAACUGUUGGAAAUAAAGGUAACCUCAGCAGAUUGAACAAUCAUGUGGCUUCCAUGACUUUUCUGUUAAUUCCUUACGACCAUCUUGCUCAUUAUGCAGGGGAUUGGAGUGAGAUUAGCAGAUUACAUAGCUGAACUCCGGGAAACAAGCCCUUUAAAAUCGGUAAGCACGACCUGUAAACCUUAUCAAGAACAGGUUUUUCAUGUUCUUAUAUACUAGUACUGUUAGUAAUAUACUAACGAUAUAUGGUUUUUCAUGCUGCAGCUGAGUGAUUUAGAGAAGAUUGGUCUCUCGUCUAAGCAGGUUUACAACAUGUUCAGCAAAGCUGCAAGAGGCAUCUUUGAUAAACAAGACGGUGCGCAGCUCAGAGAAGAGUUAACGUGACUGGUUCCUAUGGAUAAUUCAUCCAUGGAAAUAGGAUCAAAUUUGGUUAACUAUAACAAUGAUGUAGAAAUAGCAAUGUAUGUCCUUAAUUUGCUUGUGUGAGAGUGAGACUAAUUUGAUGCAGUAGGCUUUACUGCUUUCAUUUACAGAGAGCAGUCAUUGAAGUAGAUUAUUACCUCGACACUAAAAUAACAGUGAAGUAUUUUAACAUAUGUUUUUAAUCAUGUUUUAACAAAAAAAAAUUUGUGUGUUUAAAGAUCGUAGGUUCGAGAUAUUUUUUUUUUUUGAACAAGGACGAACAAGAUGUUGUCCUUACCUUUUAAAAAAUAAAAACAAAGCAGUCAAGUGCGUGGGCUGACUUGCUACUGGUGGACCAAGUAUUGGCCCGCCUUUAUAUUGUGAUUGACAACCUGUUUGGUUUUUUUAUAUAUAUAAAAAAUAAACGUUAAUGAUAUGUGAUCGACCAGUCAUGCAGGCCUGACCUGUUACUGGUGGGACACCUGUUACUGUCGGGCCUCACGACUUAACUAUCUUUCUUCUUCUUCCCUUUAUUUUUUUAUUUUUACAUUCUGAAAAAGAUUUAGUUGUUUAUUUACUUUUUAUUUUUAACAUGUUUUUUUAAAUAUUAUUAAAAAAAUUUAUUAAAAUUUGAAUAAGUUUUUCAAUUAUUAUGUAUAUGUCAUUGCGCACUAGUUAUUGCAGAUUAUCUCUCAAGUGGCAAAGAUUAUCUAUCUUAAGUAAUUGGCAAAAAAAAAAAAAAUCUAGACGCGCCAUUUACUCAAAAUUAAUUCUCUUAAAAUUAAUAUUUUUAAAUUAUUUUGAUAUAAAUUUUUAAUUACAAUUUUAUAAACUAACCAUGUUUGGAUAGAAAAUAAUUUAUGUUUUUUUAAGUAAAAAUCAUGUUUUUUAAAAUUUUAAAAAUAUGAUUAUUUUUUUAACUUUUACACAGAUAUGAUUUGUAUUUAAAAAAUAUUAUAUUUUUAAAAAAAUCAUCAUAUCAUACCUUCAUGCCAAACAAUCUCAAAAGCUCAGGGAUGCGGUAAUUAUUUUUUUAAUAUAUAUACAAAUCACACCUUCAGAAGUAAAAAAAUACAAGCUUCAAGCUUUUUAUAUAGGCUCUACUAAAACAAGCCAAACCACCUCCAAACCAGCUAUUUAUUUUUUUAAAAAAAAUAUAUUUUUACAAACUUUAAUAAAUUUACUAUUUUUUUAAUUAAUUUUUAAUAAUUUUAAUAUUAAAAAUAAUUUAUUUCAAUAUAAAGAUAUUUUCGAAUAACAAAAACUUCAAAAAUAAUAUCUAAUCCGAAUAAACAAGGACAACUGGACGGUCAUCAGCAAGGAUAAUCCAGAGCAGAAAGUGGAAGGCCUAGUUUCGCGAUAUUUCCUUUUCUUUCUCUCCACCAUUCUUUUACUAUUGACGUGGCAUGCUCUGGCGGGCUCUAUCAAUCGGUUUCCAUGACAUGAAUGAAUGGUUCCAAAACUCAGUUGACCAAGACCAGCCUUUCGUUAUCUCUGCAACCUCCCAAGAUUCACAUUCCUCAAGAAAUCGCCUCUCCAAAUAAACCCUUAAAUAACCCAUUUAAAAUCCACCAGUAGUUUAUUUUCUUACAUAGUAGCGAUCAAACAGGUGAAAAAUCUUCAGAUUGGAUGAAUUAGUGUGUGCAUUCAGUCCGUCAGUUUCAUACAUGCAUACAUGAUGCAUGUAUGCCUGAAAAGGCAGACGCAGUACAUCCAUCACACACACACAAUCAUAAACAGAUAUAAUCAUAGCAACACUACCAUUUUAAUUAUACAAGAAAGAUAAACAGGACGACAAGCAGAUGACUCGACUUAAGAUCUGAUACUAGAGAGGAAGCCCCGGAGCUGCAAAUCCAAGAAGAUUUGCAGAAAACAAGCCAUGAAUAUUUACUAGCUACUUUAUUGAAACUUGUUGGAGACAAGAGACAACCCUCAUAAACGCCUAGUAGAUGAAAUAUUAGUUCUUGUCAAUCCCUCGAUGCGAUGAUCAUUUCUUGAAUCAACGCAGCCAGCGGCCGAUCGCUCUCAUUUACAAGUGCAAGGAUCGCAGGCACAGUUGGCUCCACACUUGCAGCCACUCUCGGCUCCCACGACCGUCUCAGCAGCUCCCUCAAAGUGACCCUUCUCUGGUGCCACGCCAAGAACCAGAGUUCCUUGGGUGGUCGUCUCUGAUGAGCUCAUGUCAGGGUACAUCUUGCAUCUGCAAGUUAACAACAUCAUUUUAAAAAUAAAAAGCAUCAAAACUAUCAAGAAUUAGGGGGAAAUAAUGAAUCAAUCUUACCCUCCACAGCCGCUGCCGCACUUGCAGCCAGAGCCACACCCACAGUUUCCUCCACAGCAAGACAUCUUCACGAAGAGGGUAUUAAGAGUAGGAGAUAUAAAACUGAAGAAAACUUAUGUCUGGACGAGUAAUAGGAGGAUGUGUAUACCCUCACUUUAUAGGCAGGUGAGGAGAGAGACUUCGAGGAUAUCCACCGUCCAUUUGUCAUGAUCCUACGUCAUGCUUAUCCCUGCAAAUCUGUCCAAAUCUGUACCCGCUUUCUAUACACGUUGCGGUUCUUGAACCCUCAAAUCCCUCCUUCGUUGGCUAUUCUGGUAUUUUCAAGUUUCAACACCAUUUUGUUGACCUUAAGUUUAAACCCCGUCGGAUUUGAUUACUUGGAGUUCAAUCCAACGGUGUUCCAUUUGCAGGAUGUCUUUUCGUGGGCCAGGACCGGCAUUUGGCAUCAAGAUGGGUCUCACUGUCCUUCGAUAUCACAUUGCAUUAAAAUUUCAUGCAAGGAAAUUGCGCGAAGUGUGGCUGCCACGAGAUAGUUUUUUUUUUUUUUUUUCGAGUCCUCGUUAUUAUUAUUUUUUUUAUUUGUAUGCAGACAUGUAAUUAUCUGUUAGCAUAAAAAAACGAUAAAUUGAUUAAUUCUUUUAGGCUUUUCUAAAAUUGCGUGGGAAAUCGGUAAAUUGAAUUUUUUUUGGAUUUUUCUAUAUUAACUUGAAGUAACUAAAUUUGUAGUGAUUUCAUGUAGGUAAUUAAUAUGAUUAUGUCAGGUAUAUAUAUUAGAAUUAAAAAAAAACUUGUUUACCGAGAGCCAACAUCUCAAAAACUUUUUAAAACUAAAUAUUUUUAUUAAAUCAUAUGAAAGGCAUUUAAAGUGUAUAUUACACAUUUGUUUCAAAUCAAUAGACAUUUAUAAUAUUUUUUAAACAUAUAUAAUUAUUGUAGUGUAAAAAACAAUAGCAAUAAAAGCUUUUUAUUAUUUUAAUAUUAUUACAUUUGAGUGAAGCUAAAAUUAUUUUAUUUGACACUUUAAAACUACUUCAUUAGACACUAGACUAUGACGAGUGUCUUGAAUUAAAACAAUAUUACAUACAUAAUAGUAAUUACUAGAUUAUUGGUACACGAUGUGAAUCAAAUUAAUUUUUUUUUAUUUAAGAAAAAUAUUCAAAACAUUGCUAAUGUGAUUUUCAAUAAACUUUUCUUGAUUGUGAACUUAAAAUAUGAUGUAUAUUGAAUAUUUUUUAAAAAAUUAUUGAUAUGGUGAUAUAUUGGAUGACACUUGCUUUUAAAUAUUGAAACGAUGAUAUAUUUAAUUAACUCGGAUUCAUUAGGAUAAAAUUGAAAAAUAUUAUUAAAUUACAAAAAAAAUCCCCGGUCAACCUACCAAACAAGCAACUCGAGUAAUGAAAUUAAAAUAACUCAAUCAAAAACAAAUAAAAAAAAUUAAAUAAGUUAAUUUUCAAUCAAACUAAUAUUUUUUAAAUUAUUUUUAUUUUUUAUAUCAUUAUUAGAGCAUCACAUUAAAGAAUUUUCAACCAAACUAAUGCUUUUCAAAUUAUUUUUAUUUUUUAUAUCAUUAUUAGGGCAUCACAUUAAAGUUUUUUUCUAGUACGGUUAGGUGACAUUGAUAACUUUAACAAAAGAUGAAUAGUUAGGUUCUGUAUUAAAAUAGUAUAAAGAUCAACUUUAUAUUAUUUUUAUUGGGAUGACUUAUGGUCUUAUUAGUGCGGUAUUGAUUAUGAAACUAAGAUAUUUUAUAAAAAUUAAAUAAAAAUUUUUUUGAAAUUCAAUUCUCAACCAACACAGUAUUAAAUGGUAAAAUUUUAAAAAAAUCAAUUAAAAAAAAUGAAAUAAAAACAUCUUGAGCUAACCUGGGUUAAUUUGUUAAGCAUUAUUCUUGGAUCAUGAUACUUAAAUAAUAUAAUAAAAAAUAAACAAAAUAAAUCAUAAAAUCUAAUUUUCAAUCAAACUAAUACGACAAUAAUAAAAUUAAAAAAAAACUUAAAUUAAUAGGAUUAAUCCAAUAAAUUUAAUAUUAAAUAAUAAAAAUAUAAAAAAAAAAUAAAGGAAAGAAGAAGCCUAUAUCAUCGUAAAUAUAAUAUUAAGUACGUGGUCCAUCUUGGAAGAAAAGGGAAGGUUUACUCCAAUACAAGCGAACCAAAGGGUGACAGCAACAAGCGUGAUUUACUCAAUUUUUACAGUCCUGGAGGCUCAAGGAAGGUCGCAAUUAAUAAUGUUGUUGAAGAGUACAAGUUUAACUAACACUCAAUUGAUUCCUCUCCGUGGGGCCCGAAGCAGAUAUGUCGUUUUCUAUGGACGGGGAAAAAAGUAAAAAUUUAACGCCCACCGUGGGGCUCGAACCCACGACCACAAGGUUAAGAGCCUUGCGCUCUACCAACUGAGCUAGACGGGCUACCCGGCACUGCCUACUGCACAUACAUUAACGCAUAUAAAGUCUAUCCCAUCAGGAGUCCAAAAUUUAACACCGAUAAACUUUUUCCUUCUGAAGAAUAAUGUCACUAGUUGACUGUGGUGAUAAAAGUCUAUGGUAUAGAAGUUUGAAAAAAAGGGAGAGAGCAUUGGAAAAUGACCAAGGGACUAUAGAAAAACAAAAAUAAAAGUGAAUCAGAUAAAUAAUUUUACGGGCGAAAAUAAAUAAAUAAAAUAUAUAGCAGAAGGUGAAGUGCACGCGCCUGACGAAGUAAUUUUUUUGUUCAUUAAGGGGGUGGGGGAUUGUCUGUCCCUUGUUUUUAUUUGAAAUAAAAAACACAAACGACAGAUCGGUUGUGUCUGUUGUAAAGAAAAUAUCGAGCGCCGUCUUUUUUUCUAACAUGCGGUCUCGGAUUUGUCCAGCACACUGAUCACUUAAGCUAAAAUAUGAAUUUAAUUUAAAGUGACGAAAGAAAUAUAUUAACUCAUUUUUUUUAGUUGUUAGUAUAAAACGUUUAAUGAUAUAUGAGAUGUUAAUAGAUCUAGUCAGGAUUUGUUUUUUAAAUAUAUCCAUAUCCAUAUUCAUAUAUUUAUUAUUAUCCUUUACCUUUUAUUCGUAUCCAAUCAGAUAGAUGAGGUCAGGUGAGGAUUUUUUUUUUUAAUCUUCAUUUAUUGGAUAUCCAACCUGAUCCAAUUCAGAAUUUUAAUUUAAAAAAUCUCUUUUAUUUUUUUUAUAUAUAUAUCCCACAAAAUUAUUUACUAAUACAAAGGAUCUAAGAUAUCUAAUAGUUUUAUUUUUCUAAAUCAUAUUACAAAUUUAAUAUUAGAUAUUGUGAUUUAAAAAACUAAAAUUAUAUGAUGUUAAUUCCAUGUUAAUUAGUAGUAAUUUGUUAAUAACCAGUAUAAUUAUUUACAUGAAUCAUUCAAUUAUGUAUUUAUUAUUUGUUAAACAACUUAUAGCAUGUACUUCUAACAAAAUUAACCAGUUAUCUAACUUAUAUAAUUUACCACAUAAUACUUUAGAGAUACUCCUUAUCUAUAAAGUUAUUAUCAAUUUCACCCUUCAUCAAUCACACCCAUCAAUUUCAUCCUUAAUGUUACCCUGUGUUUAUUUCAAUUCAACCCUUAUGUUUCACAUUCCAUCCAAUUAUGUUAACAAUCAAAUUUAUUAUUUAAAUUAAUAAAAGUUAAUGAAGGAAAAACAUUAAUUUAAAUUGAAAAUCUUGGAAAAAUUCAAAUCCCAUUUAAACUCAAAACUAAGAAAAUCUUAAGAUUAUAAGUUAAGAAAAUAAAAAAUCCAAUGAAACUCAAAAUUUAAAACUUAAAUUUGUUUUUAGUUUUUUAGGGUUUCAAAUAUUUUUAAUAUUGAUUUUAGAGUUGCAAUAUAGACAUUAACAUAUUAUAUUAAGUACUGGUUUGGAGGACGAGUGGACAAAAGGCAUAAUUGAAAACAUUAGAUAAUGUUAAGGGUAAAAUUAAGGGAUACAAUUACUAAAAAGGAAUAUUGAUAAUGACCCCAUAGAUGAAAGUUAUUUUUGUAGCUAACCCUAUUAAUAUUUAUAUCAACAAAGAACAAUUUUUACACUUUUUUAAUUAAUAAUUAUUUUUAAUAUCAUAUAUUUACAAUUUUAAAGUAAAGUUAUGAAACUUAGAUUGAUUUUGUAGGGUUUGCAAUAUUAUAUUUUACUAAUAUUUAUAUAUAUUAAAAGGAGUAAAAAUAUUGAAUCUAGUGUAAGUUAGAUGACAAGGCGGAUAAACUCUCCAGCCCGCUUUUAUAUCUGAUUUAGUAUUUAUUUGGAAAUGUGAUGCAACCCAUAUUUUUUUAAAUUUUAAAAUAUUUUUACUAUUUUUUUAUAUAUAUUUUCAAUUGUUUUUGUAUACAAAUUUUCACUUCUUAUACUUGAGAUACAAUAUUAGUAUUUUGAAAGCAGAAUCACUUGUGCACCAACCUGACACAAAUAGAAUUUAAAUCUUUUCAAGUGCCAAAAAUUUGUCAUCAAGGAUUUAAAUUAUUGGCCUUUUCUACAUAAAAAUGAUUGGCAGUGUGCUGUUUGCUUUGUAUAAUGGAAGAAACCUGACCAGUUCGCUAUGUAUCUUUUGUUUUCUUAUUCAAGAUAGUUAAGGGUCAACAUCGGGUAAAAAAUAAAAAACAUGAAAAUAAAAAGUUGAUUUUUUUUAUUAAUGUAAAUAUCUAGACUAAUUUUUAUAUAUUUCAAUUAAUUUUACAAACUUUAAAAUUAAUAAUUAUAUAAAUCUUUAAUAACUCUAAAAUUUAUAAAAUUACAACUAGUUAUAAAAAAAUAAUCUAGAAUCUUACAUCCUCAAGAUUAAUAAAAAAUUUAUACUAGAUAAGCUCAUUAGACGAGGAAGGGCGAAAAGAUGGCACGUCUUGAAAAUAAUCAGGAGGACGUAGUAGGACAACAAAUAAAUGUUGAGGAAUUUUACCUUCGAAAAUAAACUUACAGUGCACUAAAAUGCUUGGGUCCUGCCCAACAUUCUUCUUGAGAUCCAGUAUGAUAUAGAUUUUGUACAACCUUCUAAGCUUUUCAAUGUUUUUCUUUCUUUUAAUUUGUAAUUAAAUUUCAUUUUGGUUCUUUUGUUUUUCCUUGUUGUGUUUCUCCCACCAAUCUUCUUUCUUAAUUUUUUUUUUAAUUUUUAUGUUUUGAUUUUUUUUCCUAAAAAAAUAUCAACUAAAAAAAAAUAAUCAAAAUUAUAAAAUGAGCCCGUGAAUAGAUAAAGUGCGCUGAAAACAUAUUUUUUGAAAUUUCUUUUUGUUUUUUGGAUUUUUUUAAGAUACUUUGGAAAUGAAGUAUGACAAAAAUAAAAUAUAUUUCUAGUAUAAUUCCUACUUUCCUCUUUGUUUUUCCAUGAAGAAAUUUAACUUUUUCUUCUAUGUUAUUCAUUCAAUAAAAAUAAAAAAGCCAUUAGAACAAACAUAAAAUAAAAAAAUGGAUAUAUGAUUUUUUUCCAGGUAAGAAAGACAUCUCUCGAGGCAUAACUCUUUUAUCUCAUCAUGUGCUCUAUCGUUUGCCUGGCCUUUAUUUGCUAUAAUAUAUGGUUUUUACUCGUAAUAAUGUAUAAUAAAAAGCCCCAAUCAUUUAGCUUUUAUAUAUGACAUUCACAAUUAUUCAUGGUCUGGUCGAUGCAAUGAAUUUCAAAUGGGCCAGAUUUUAUAUUCAAACAAAGCCCAAACCAAAAGUAAAGUAAAAGAAUACAAAAUUAGUAGGCCUUUGGGUGGGCUAGGUGAAAAGGAAAACACCAUUUGGUCAGAGGUUCCAUUAAACUAGUAGUAGAAAAAUAAAAGGUACCCUUUCCUCCCAAACUUCUUGAGGUUUAUGGGGUGA
rnacentral:lncRNA from 1 species